GGGCACCGAAUAUAGAGGAACAAAAGAAGGAAGGGAGAUAUAACAUAAAUACUACUUUUUGUUUUCAUGGCAAUCGCCAAGAGCAAUACAACCCGGUCAAUGAUCGUGUGCCGGAUGGUUGUUGCGUUGGUGGGGCUUGCUAUGAUGUUUACCUUGCCAUCUUGUCAUGCAAGCACUGAAUCUGCUGGUCAUCCGACGUUGUGCGAGAGUCUAGAUCCAUGUGUUAACGAUUACACCGGAUGCAAAGGUAUAUGCGUUGGCAUGGGCAUGAAACACUUCACUUCCUUUUGCAAGGAGUCAAAUCCUGCUCCGCUGUGUUGCUGCAUAGAGAUAUAAACCUCGUGGAUGGUUCUCCUGCAAGAGCUAUGCAAGCUGAACAAUGAAUGUAUCGAGCGGUAAUCUCAAUAAACAUGCUUGUUUUUCUACAUCGUCUAGUGUGUAUUGUGCCUGUGUAUACAAAUGUAACGAUCCAUGUUUUCACAUACAAUAUACAAGUAUUGUACUAGUGAGAUAACGAACACAUGGGUGCAAGGAAAGCACAUACUAGUAGAA